CCCUAUCAAACUUAUUGCAUCUAAUUUUCUUGUUUGGCGAAACCAAGUUCGUUCCACCCUCAUUGGCCUUGAUCUCCUCCACUUCAUCGAUGGUUAUUCAAAACCUCCCAGUAAAACCAAUGCUGAGUAAUCUCACUGGUACAGACAAGAUCAGAUCUUGUUCAGUGCCUUACUUGGUAGUUGCACAGAUGUUAUACAACCCUUGCUAUCUUCUGCUGAAACAUCAUAUGAAGCUUGGUUCCGUCUCACCACAAGCUAUGCCAACGCUUCUCGUUCCUGAAUCAUCUCGCUCAAAUCUAAACUUACCACCAAUCCAAAAGGAUCACGCACUGUUACUAAAUAUCUUCACGACAUGCGAUCCAUUGCCGACGAUCUUGCCUUAGCCCACUUAUAGGUGUAAUUGACAGCUACCUUUACUCCUGUAAAUACUCCUGUAAAGGCUUUAUAUUGGCCACUUAUUUUCCCUGUAAUGUGUGAAAAUUCAAUAUUAAAAUCAAUACCUCAAUAAUGCCUUACCAAGUACACAAGUUAAUGACAACCAAUUCAGGUUUUUUAAAAAUUAAGUUGUGUGUGAUCCUCAAAUAACUCAAUAUAAAAAUACAAUAAUACUUUCCUAACCAUCUGUUUCUCAUUCAAAAUACUUUAAUUAAAAACACUUUGCUCCCUUCCCCUUCCCAUCCCUACCAAUCUCCAUCGUCGGUGAUAAACUCCAAUAAAUAUACAUUUACUUUUGAUCCCUGAUCCUAUAAUAAUGAGCAUGGCCAAAAGCAAAAUUGGACAACUUCAAAGACAUACAAACUCUACUUAGUUCACUUCUUUCGAACAUGGUCAAAACCAACAAAAAAUAUAGAAAAAUAUGUAAUCCUUUUAAACAACGUUCAAGUUAGAGCAUAUACCUGAAAGUCUUCGUCUUGAUGAUGUGUUGUUGGGACGUCCAACAAAUAACAUAACAGUGGACGUCGACGCCUCAAAGAGAAACCACAAUCUUGACUCCGUGACAUAUAGCUUAAAUAUUCUUGAUACUUGACGUCCUUAAAAAAAGUUGUGUACCUAAAUUCGUGAAUUUGCAACGAUAGGUGUGGAGGCGGCUGGAAUCGGAGAUAACAGGGUAGCGGUUGCUAGAAUCGACGAUGUUAGGAUUGGGGGUGACCGGACUGGAUGUUAGGGUGGGGGGUGUCAAAUGAAA
rnacentral:lncRNA from 1 species